AUGCCUUCGGGAGAAAAAAAAAAUCACAACACUCCCCGAGAUGCUGCAGAAGGCAUUUCCAGAAGAGCCCUCCAGCGCCUAGAAGCAGCAUCGGAAGACAGGCUUGGCGUUCUGUUUUCAAAGGGCCGAUUUCUCCCUAAUCAACGUUCUGGGACGUGGACAGGCGACGCGCUCCCAGGACACGCCGGGCGCACGGCAACCCCGCGGGCCCCCAGCGCGCGUCGCGGCCGCUCCGUGCAAACCAGCCGCUUCCCUAAGUCUGGCUGCUUCCCUAACCUUUCCUCCUUGCUACGUCCCCACCUCACGAGAGUGGUGGGAGACAAACUCGCAGGUACCGAGAGGAAACUAGAGUGCGCUUCAGCCCGUGCGAGCCUCUCUCCUGCGCGCGUUCGCACUUCACCUCCUAGAAGUCAAGUUCACCCUUACCUGCUGCUCUUCCUCCUCCCUGCAGUCGCCCUGGGCUUCCUCGCGCUCUGGCUGCCUCUUCUCCAAGUGCCCCCUGUUGCUCUUGAGCCUGUCAGUUGCUCCUCUUCCACCCUCUUUUUAAUCGCUGUCCGUCGCCCUCCCUCCUCCCACUUCUUCCUCCUCUUGCUCUCUCCUCCCCCUUUCCCCUCUGGAACCCUCCCUCCCCUCUCUGUCUGUCCUGCGCUCAGACUCUUUGCUCUCUUCCGAAAACUCUGCUUCCCUCCAGUCCCUGCUGUCCCUCCUCGCGCUCGCCCCCUCCUCCUGGCCGUCCCGCUGCAGCCCUUCGCCCCAGCGCCGCCUGAGGCUGGCCUGCCCUCUCCCUCCAGGGACCAGGGCACUGCCUCCCGGAGUCUUUUCCUGCCAGCCCCAUCCGCUGAGCCUCCUUGGAGUCCUCAGGCCGAGGCUUUCCUGGGGCAGCAGCGGAGUUUCCCCUUCUCCAUCCUUUUCCUAUCGUUAGAGAACAGGGUGGCCAUGCACACCGCGAGCCCUCGGGAGUUCUACCAUGUGUGGCUCAGAGCUCUGAUCACCAGCCAGCCUGGCAGGGGAGGGGGUGGGGGAGUCGUGGUCACACAGCCACAGCCACCCAGCACCCAGAAGGGGCACCUGAAAGGAAGAGGGUGGUUCCAAAGGCCAGAGGGAGGGCACUCCCUCAGCUCAGGACCCCAGUGCCUGCCCCUUCCGCUCAAACAAGAAGGGAGCACCCGCUCUGCGCCUGGCCCUUGCCACCUAUUUUUGUUUUAUUUAAUUAUCCCAAUUUCCACCUCUCCAAGGUACCUGUUCUCUGCAUUUCACACAUGA
rnacentral:lncRNA from 1 species